AAAGGAGAAAAACUUUGUCUAUAGCCACCUUCAUCCAACUGGUAGGGUGUAUGACGCACAUCCAAUGCCUGUUGGAAUUGCUUUUGGAGGAUCCAUGGGGAACGAGAGAAUAUUUAUGGAUGAGGAUUUUGCUAUGGUCACUGUGCGCCACCAUGCAGUUGAUAAAACAUAUCAACAUGGUAACCUUUUCCCCAGUCAGGUAUGACCAUAAAAUUGUCCAUAUAUUAAAGUAAUAGGAAAGGUUUCACUAUUUUCUCUUGGUACAAAGUGUUCAUGUAAUUCUGCUGCCAUGCCCAUUCUGUCACAAAGGAUGCUUUCGUAUGCAUUUCUGUUCUAUCUGCCCGCUCCUCCUGUGGGGAAGUCUUAUUUGCUUGUUUUAACUUUUCACUUCGACAGUUUUACUUGGAUGGUGUAAAUCUACAUGUUUCAAAAAUCUUAAAGAUCUUUCGUUUCUUAUUCACCUUGAUUACUCUCACUUUUCUUUUUUAUUCAGAUAGCACACCUCCACAUUUUUAUAAAAUCUCGUAAAGAUCAUGACUUUCUAUGCACUCCCUUAAUCACUAUCCUAGCCAUUUAGUUUAGUAUUUAUAUCCAAACCUCAAGUAUGGGAAAAUUUAUUUCCAGGAGUUCAGGAUAACUUGUAUAAAAAUAAUCCAUGAUAUUUAAUUCACCUUGAUAUUUACAAAAAGAAUUAAUCCCCGAGUACAGGGAUUAAUUUCACAGGGGCCUGCCAGGUCGCUCACUGUAGCAGGCAGGCCCCACACACACACACACACACACACACACAUAUAUAUAUAUAUAUACUGUGGUGGACCCCACUGUGUGUGUGUGUAUCCUGGCAGGACCUGUGAAACAGGUCCUACUUCAAGCAGGAUUGUUAACAAAAUAUAGCAAGCUGCAAGACAUAAUAAAAAUGCAUUGCAGGUCUGGCAUUUUGCAGACCGGCCUGUGUAACUUUAACCUGCUACACGAAAAUGAGAGUUUUUCCCCAAUUAUACUGUGGAGAACUUUGAAGUUCUCAACUCAUGGAGUACUUAUUGGUGAUAUCGUUGUGCUUCAGGGGUUCCUACCAGUUGAAGCUUCAGUUUCAGAAGUUGAGGUGUGGGGAUUAGGAGGGAAAAAUGCCAGAAAAGUUCAAGCUUCUUAUAAGAAGAGAGAAGAAAUUUUUACCGAGCAAAGGCGAAAAGUAACCAAGUUCUUGAGCAUGUUAGCUUUCCAAAGGUUAAUUGGGCUACAGUUACUGAUAAUAUAUUUCUUUCUGACUAUUGCAGGUUGACCUGAAAACCUUUGCCAGUUGGGAAGACUCGCCGGAGAAGAUGAUGAUGGACAUGGUGUCUAAUCCGGAAACAGUUCGGAGAGAAGAUCGAUGAAUAAUUCUCGUCUGCCAAAUCAGAUUAUGAUCCACGAGAGUGCAAAUAUAUAUAUAUAUAUAUAUAUAUAUCACAGUUGAUUGUUUGAGACGCUUGGCUGUGGCUAUAUUGCUUGGGAUUUUAUAGAAUACUUUCACUGGGAUAUAUUAAUACUUGUUCGCUUAUGAAGUAAAUUAAAAUGGUUCUUUUUCUUCAAGCCUGUAAGAAUUAUUUGGGGUCUAUAACUUUUUAAGUUUCUUCAUGGUGUAUAGUUGCUCGAAUGAGUUCAGUUCAUUGAAAAUAGAGCACCUCUCUCUAUCUCUCUCUUGCAGCUCUUUUGCAAUGUUAUGAGAAUCAAGAAUCAUGCCUUGCCCACAAAUGAAUUCACCUGGCGCGAUGUCCCUGCACUAUUAUGCAGAGUGAUACUCAAUAUUUUCGGAAUAAUGCUACUUGUAUAUAAUUGUUUACAUGUAGAUAAGGUGUUAAAAAGAGAAUGAAAAAGUUUAAAUUUUGUAUUUAGUUGAAGAAAUUUUGAUUCUAUCAUAUCUGACUAGGGCGAUUAUGGUUCUGUAUGGAUGGUUUGAGACAAAAUUUCAAACUAAGCCUUUAAAGCAAUUUGAAAUUUUUUCGAACUAAAUCGAACCAUUUUGAUUUUUAAACCAAAUCAAUUCAAAUCACUUUUUUCAGUUUGAUUUGGUUUAAAAUCACGAUUUAACCAAAAAAGAAAUUAAUGUAUAUCAAAUAAGUUGAAUAAUAAAUAUUAGUUUAAAAUUUCACGUUAAAACAUAAAUUAUAGCCUUAAAAGUGUUACAAAUUAAAGUUUUAUAAUUCUAAUCAUUUUAAUGGAACAUCAAGAUAUAAACAUUUUAACUUGUUAGUCGAUACUAAUUAGAACAAUAUUUGCAAUUGAAACACAAAAUUCACUCUCCAUAAAGAUUGUACGUAAUUUUUUUUUUAUUAUGGUUAAAUGAUAUAAAACAACUAAUAAAAGAAAAUGAAUAGAAAGAUCAAUUACGAUGAUACCUAAUAUAACUUUCUGUAAAUCAUCCAAUGCUUCCACUUCAUCCAAAUGUUGAAGAAUUGCUAUAGGUUUCUUUCUAUUAUGCAGUGGAUUUUUAGGACAAAUCACCGUCUAAACUAUAAUGGUACUCAACGAACUCUCAAAGGAAUUAAGAAUUUGACUGCUAAUAAGGAAUAUAGAUUCAAAAACAAUUGUUGAUAUUUGAAUAGUUAAUACAUCUUUAACAAUUUGAGGGACAAUCUUCUAUUUAUUUAUAUUUAAUUUCCAACAAAGUGAUAUGUCGAAAAGUUCAUUGGUCAAAUCUUCAAAAUGACUAUUUAAGUAAUCCACCAAAUCAUUUUAGUAUUUAACAGUGCAAUUUGGAAAUUAGGUUAAAAUGUAAAUAAUUAAUUGAGUGAUUUGACUAGAAAAUUAAGACGCAGAUAAACAAAAAAUGCUGCCAGCUAAAAAUUUAACGAGGUCCACAAUUUAGAGGAGAAUUGUCGCAAAGGCUUCUGGCCGAGGAAAUAUGUGUCUAUAACGACACCACAAACUGUCUUGAUUGACUUUCAACUCAAAAAUUAGUUUCAAUUGCACAUGCAAAAUAGAAUCAAAAGAAAUAAAUAUGCAACCAUUCAAGAGAAAAUGAACGACAUUAAAUAUUUGAUUAUAUUUUGUGUAAAAUUUAUCAUGUUCUUCGAUAGCUUGUCUUGAAAUUCUAUUAUACUUUUUGCCGAAAGAAUAGUGCACAAAGUGGUUGUUCUGAGAACCUUAUAUAGUGACGUUGCGAAAUCAGAUUUUAUUAUUCCACUUGAUCGUCGAAUAUUUCUUUUGUUUCAAAUUAAUAACCGAACCUUUUUUUUUUUUCAUUUUUAAUUCUAUUGCAUUCUGAAAUUAAUAUUUGCUAUUUUAUUAAAUGAAACCACCCUUCUCAUUUAUUUGGAUAAAUAUUUAUGGUUUUCUUUAUGGUUUCCUCUUACAUGCUAUCCACUGGUUUCAGAAAUGCUUCAGCUUAACUUUUGAGAACGGAAUAUCUGAACAAACUGCAGUGCAGAAAGAAUUGCCGGUGUUGUUAAGCCAUCUGGGUUCUGCAAUAGUUGACUUAUUUUUCUUGGCGGAUAAAAAUGGAGUGAGUUGGAUUGAAUUCCUGAAAGGGUACGUGAAAUGCUGCGGAAGAACAGUCGCUUCAACAUCAUUAACUAACUUAUUCCAAGUUUUUUCCACGAUGUUUUCAAAGGCAGGACUUCCAGUUAAGCUGCAAUUUGAGUCAUAUGAGGAUGACUGUAAAAUCAGCGGGUCAUUACUGCCCAUUGAUUUGCUAUUGCUUCUUUGGAUUUGUUGGAUUUUGUUGUCAGAUUCUAGGAAGUUAAAGCUGAACUUACAAAAAAGCAGAGGGGAUUGGAGUCUUCCGGAUAUUUCCCAUUUGGUUUUAUCAGCCAUUGAAUCUUGUGCUGAAGGUGGUCACAAAUUGGAUCAUUGGGAUUGCAUUGUUUCAGACUUGGAUGUUCUCCUUCCUGUUAUGAAGAUUCAUUUAUGGGCAUUGAAAACUGUACCAAAUCUAGCUGAUUGCUUUGUGCAAUUUGUCCAUGCGAGACUCUGCUGCUCGGCAACUCAUGAGGUUUUCUACCUCUUGCUUCAAAUUGAUUGGAUCAAAUGAAUUUGUUCCUUUAUGCUUUUAUUUCCAGUUUGAAAUGGACAUAUUUAAUGGUCGUUCUCUGUUUAGUAGCAUUGUAUGAUAAUGCAUUCACCAACAACCAUGUAAGAUAUCAAAAUUGCAUUUAUACCGUGGAACAAUUAACCAUAGAGUUCAUGUGAAGCCAACAUGUAAUUCACAUGUCAGUAUAGGAUUUCAUUUUAUUUAUUCAUUUAGUGCUAGCGUGGUUUCUUUUCUAGAAGAGUAAAAGAAAAAAGGAAAAGGAGACCAUAGUUCUUUUAUUGGUUAAAAAUUUCGAAAAAAAAAAAAAACGAAACUGAAGCACUCAAUUGUGGUGACAGUGGUAAUAACUUUUCAUUCUUCAGAUAAGAUUAUAUAGGAUGGUGGUGUUAAUGAUGGUUUCUGUCUGGAUGGGAAGUGGCAGUUCUCCGAAGUGCUAAUAAUGAUUUGACUUCUCUUUUUACUACUCUGUAAUGAGGUUCAAUAGAACCGGAGACAGGUCGGAGAGACGGAGGGCUCGUGUGAAGACAAUUGAUAAGAGAAAGAAAGUGGAAUCAACGGGAGAACUAACUCAAUGGCAGAAAUGGUGAAAUGCCUGAAGUCAUCAUCUUAGAUAAAAACCAAUCCAAGUCAAACCAGAAUUCAAUCUGUAAUAGAGGUGUAAGCAUCAUACAAAUAGAAGCUCUAAAAUAUUUGUGCUUACCUGGCAUAAGGAUGGGUAUUUUUUCUUAUUUUUGCUUUUCUGUCAAAUAAUGGAUGCUCUUCUAAGCUUUAAUCGUGUUUACUAUUUUCCUGUAAAGUGCUUGUUUUGUAUUGUGAUCCUGUUUGAAUUAUCUGCUUGGCAUUUGUGUUGUCUCUCAUUCUGAUGCCAUCUCACAUUAGGACGGAAUUCGACGAUGAUGUCUCUUAGUGAAAUCAAAUUUGUUGAGUUUGACAUGGAUAAAGUCACGUCUGAUUGUGUAAAUCCAACCACUUUCAGGAGAAAAUGGAGCCAUCAUGCUCUUCCGCUCAUGAAAAUUCCCCAACAGAAAUAUGCAACACCAACCUUCUUACUUCCGGAAGGGCCUGGGCCAUCUCACUUUCCCUGAGAAGUCCUAUGCACGAAGAGAUAUCAAAAAUUUGUUUCCCAAGUAAUGCUGGUGAUAUAAAUGAAAAUUUGCUCUAUCGGUUUGUUCGCUCUCCUUUUGUCCAUUCCUUGUAUUAAGGGUAAAAGAGAAAGGAAAUGUACAUGGUUGUGUAGGUUUCAUAAACUAUGAUGCUUACUGCAUCAAAGGAGCUGAGCAGAACAUUUAUUGUAGCUACUGCUUGCUACUCAUAGUUGCAAAAAACUACUUGGUUACAUAUUGUUUUGCAUGUGUUAGCUGCUUUGGUGUAUAUCUUAUAUUUUUGGGCUGCCAAAAAUGUUAAAAUUUGUCAUGCUUGUGCACAUAGAAUCAAAUUUAUAAUUAUUAUUUUAUUUCCUUUUAUUUAAGUAUCUUUCAUAACAUGAAAUAAUGAAAUCAUGUAAAUCUAUUUCUUUUAAUCUAAUUUUAUUGAUUAAACUUUCCUGUUCAGUUUUUUAUUUGCUCUUGUAUCAUUUUUUAAAUACCUGUUUUCUCAUGAAAAAUAUCUUGAAUGCUCAGAAUUAAGAACCAUGUGUGUUAUGUAGAUGUAAUUUCCACAGUCUAUUAUGUGCUCUUGCCAUUCAAAAAUCGUGCAGUUCUUUAGCUAAUGUCUCUUUCAAACCUUGAAUAGAUCAUCUCUUCAUGGGAAAGGUCUGAAUCGGUUCUGGUCAAAUGUCGAGGGCUACAAUGGUCAGUUACUAAUGCUGAUUUCUGCUGCUCACGAGGAUAAUAAAAAUACAAGGAAGUGGAUUAUUAGUGCACUCACCGAUCAGGGUUUUGAAAAUAGGGAAAUGUCUUAUGGAACUUCUGGGUGUCUGUAUGCUAUAAGUCCAGUCUAUCAUGUGUUCUCAUCUUCAGGUUGGUAAAUUAGAAAGUUCUUAUCUUGUUUGGUAAUAUUUUUCCAAAAUUCUGAUAGAAAUUAGUUUGCCCAACUGAAAUUAAGGGAAUAUUUAAAUUCUUGGCAGGAAAGGAGAAAAACUUUGUCUAUAGCCACCUUCAUCCAACUGGUAGGGUGUAUGACGCACAUCCAAUGCCUGUUGGAAUUGCUUUUGGAGGAUCCAUGGGGAACGAGAGAAUAUUUAUGGAUGAGGAUUUUGCUAUGGUCACUGUGCGCCACCAUGCAGUUGAUAAAACAUAUCAACAUGGUAACCUUUUCCCCAGUCAGGUAUGACCAUAAAAUUGUCCAUAUAUUAAAGUAAUAGGAAAGGUUUCACUAUUUUCUCUUGGUACAAAGUGUUCAUGUAAUUCUGCUGCCAUGCCCAUUCUGUCACAAAGGAUGCUUUCGUAUGCAUUUCUGUUCUAUCUGCCCGCUCCUCCUGUGGGGAAGUCUUAUUUGCUUGUUUUAACUUUUC
rnacentral:lncRNA from 1 species